UCACCAUAGGGAUCAGCAGCAGCUGUAUUGUUCGGUCGUGGGUGGCCUGUAGGUGGCGCUGCAGCUGGCACGAUAUGUACUGUACAGGAGCAAGUGGACGAAAGAGGCGACAAAAAAGCUCGCUAGGAAGUGCAUCUGCAGCAGCUAACUAACCCUGUCCCCGCAAUAUGGCUGCAGUGCUUUGCUGGGGUUACUGCUGAGCCUAGUUCCCCUUCGCCGAAAGGACCUUUUCGUCCCCUAGUGGUCGGAUCCUGCACAUGCAGAGAGGCAUUAGCAAGUACGCCAGAGAAGCACCACAGACACGCCACAGCCAACUGAUGAAGAUGGUGGGAAUGCAGGUUCUUCUUCUGCAAGCCGCCCUCCUCUAAGGCGCCCAUCACAGGGCUCUGUGAGUUUACCUAGGAGGCCCAGUAAGACACGUCGUGUGGAGUCUGAGUCUGCAGCUCCAUCUUCACCACCCAGGCGGCGCAUCUCCGCAGUGUUGGACCAGCCACCACAGGCAAUUUUGGCAAGUCCACAAAGUGAUGAGCCACGAUCACCUCAGCUGUCUGAACCAACCAUCAUGGGCGAUGACGAUCAGCAGGAACCUGAACAACAGCCAACCUUUACACUGCACCUUACGCCCGUUGAUCCUACCCAGCCAACCCAGCAGCAGGAUAUGCCCCAAGCCUCCCUAAGCCCCCAAUUGAUCCCAACUCCACCCCAGCAACAAAUGUCCCAAGACUUUUGGACCAGUUGGGCCACACAACAGGCCCAAAACACUGCCUACCUGAACACACACACACAACACCUUGCCAGUCUGCCUUCAUCAUCUUCCGCGCAUUAGUCGGAACUCGGGCAGACUGAUUGUUCAGGUAGGCAGAAUCGCUACUUCAAUGGAGCAAAUCAGGGCGGACAACACGCAAAUGCUUGCCAAUUUAACGUGAAUCAUCGAUGAGCAACAGCGGCAGCAACAAGCCCUAAUACAAGUCAUCCAGCACAACCAGGUAGUGAAUGAAACUUUGUCUCGGAAUGUGGCCAGCAACACUGCCACAAAUAAUCAGCUGAAUGCCAGUAUUCACAACCUCAGCCAAAGCAUUACUGUGCUGGCAGCACAACAAGUCAGCUCCAGCUCCAGAACCACUACCCCUAGCCAGACCCCAGUUACCUCCCCUGUUCGACGCUCAAGCAGAACACGAGCCCACGACCCUGGUCAAACCUCUGCACCCAGCACACAAAAACAAAAAAAAUUAUUAAUACAUGAAAUUUGUGUAACACAAUAAAAUUGAUAAUAUUGUAUUCACUAAAAA